rnacentral:siRNA from 1 species
ACCUUUGCUUGAUGCGAUAAUUGA